rnacentral:lncRNA from 1 species
CUUGGACGACGUUGUCGUCUGUUCGGUACUCUGCGUGGUCGAGUCGUCGCCGCUGCCAAAGUUUCUCGAUUGGAUUAUGUGCCUUCAGUGCGCGUGUGAGACUCGUUCGUGUUGUGCGCGCCAUGAGUGAGUCGACGACGUUUAGGAGGAAGGUGAUGGCCUUCUCUCUGCCAGGUUCGCGCUGGAUACUGCGAGGUUUUUCCAGCCUGAGACGUAGGAUGGGCUCCCGUCUGAACCAGCGGACGUCUGCUCCGACGUCGUGCGUGCAACUGCCACCGCCGACCCGUCAGCAUUCAGGAAGGCGAAAA